rnacentral:rRNA from 1 species
GAUGAACGCUGGCGGCGUGCUUAACACAUGCAAGUCGAACGAUGAAGCCCACUUGUGGGUGGAUUAGUGGCGAACGGGUGAGUAACACGUGAGCAACCUGCCCUUGACUCUGGGAUAAGCCUGGGAAACUGGGUCUAAUACCGGAUAUGACCUUCCAUCGCAUGGUGGUUGGUGGAAAGCUUUUGUGGUUUUGGAUGGACUCGCGGCUUAUCAGCUUGUUGGUGGGGUAAUGGCCUACCAAGGCGACGACGGGUAGCCGGCCUGCGAGGGUGACCGGCCACACUGGGACUGAGACACGGCCCAGACUCCUACGGGAGGCAGCAGUGGGGAAUAUUGCACAAUGGGCGCAAGCCUGAUGCAGCGACGCCGCGUGAGGGAUGACGGCCUUCGGGUUGUAAACCUCUUUCAGUAGGGAAGAAGCGUAAGUGACGGUACCUGCAGAAGAAGCGCCGGCUAACUACGUGCCAGCAGCCGCAGUAACAC